rnacentral:rRNA from 1 species
GAUGAACGCUGGCGGCGUGCCUAAUACAUGCAAGUCGAGCGAACAGACGAGGAGCUUGCUCCUCUGACGUUAGCGGCGGACGGGUGAGUAACACGUGGAUAACCUACCUAUAAGACUGGGAUAACUUCGGGAAACCGGAUCUAAUACCGGAUAAUAUAUUGAACCGCAUGGUUCAAUAGUGAAAGCCGUUUUUGCUGUCACUUAUAGAUGGAUCCGCGCCGCAUUAGCUAGUUGGUAAGGUAACGGCUUACCAAGGCGACGAUGCGUAGCCGACCUGAGAGGAUGAUCAGCCACACUGGAACUGAGACACGGUCCAGACUCCUACGGGAGGCAGCAGUAGGGAAUCUUCCGCAAUGGGCGAAAGCCUGACGGAGCAACGCCGCGUGAGUGAUGAAGGUCUUCGGAUCGUAAAACUCUGUUAUUAGGGAAGAACAAAUGUGUAAGUAACUAUGCACGUCUUGACGGUACCUAAUCAGAAAGCCACGGCUAACUACGUG